rnacentral:misc_RNA from 1 species
UCUCCGUGGGUGAACCAGCGGAGGGAUCAUUACAGAGUUGCAAAACUCCCAAACCAUUGUGAACGUUACCUAUCCCGUUGCUGAGGCGGGCUGACCGGCCCCCGACCCCGGCGCCCCCCGGCCCCCCGUGGGCGCCCGCCGGAGGUAGACCAAACCCUUGAAUUGUCUGGCCUCUCUGAGUCUUCUGUACUGAAUAAGUCAAACUUUCAACAACGGAUCUCUUGGUUCUG